rnacentral:sRNA from 1 species
AUUCUGGGAGGCUCCCUCGGGCAACUUGGGUCUCCAUCUCGCUGGCUGCUCUGCUGAUCGGAGGCUUGGCAGGUCUCACCUCGACGGUGAUUUGCAGAUGGAGAGUGCUGGGAUACUCAAAGGCUGCCGAGAGCCCUCUGAGGGCAAAGUGGCAGGACACUGAAUCCUGCAGAACAGCUUCGUGUUCCCAAAAUCACCGUACG